GGGUGGUUAGCUCAGUUGGUAGAGCGACGGCCUUACAAGCCGUAGGUCACAGGUUCGACCCCUGUACCACCCACCA
rnacentral:tRNA from 1 species